rnacentral:tRNA from 1 species
ACCCUGGUGGCUCAGAUGGUAAAGUGUCUGCCUGCAAUGCAGGAGACCCAGGUUCGAUUCCUGGGUCGGGAA